rnacentral:rRNA from 1 species
UACAGAGGGUGCAAGCGUUAAUCGGAAUUACUGGGCGUAAAGCGCGCGUAGGUGGUUCGUUAAGUUGGAUGUGAAAUCCCCGGGCUCAACCUGGGAACUGCAUCCAAAACUGGCGAGCUAGAGUAUGGUAGGGGGUGGUGGAAUUUCCUGUGUAGCGGUGAAAUGCGUAGAUAUAGGAAGGAACACCAGUGGCGAAGGCGACCACCUGGACUGAUACUGACACUGAGGUGCGAAAGCGUGGGGAGCAAACAGG